rnacentral:rRNA from 1 species
CACCAGACUCCUACGGGAGGCAGCAGUGGGGAAUAUUGCACAAUGGGGGAAACCCUGAUGCAGCGACGCCGCGUGAGCGAUGAAGUAUUUCGGUAUGUAAAGCUCUAUCAGCAGGGAAGAAAAUGACGGUACCUGACUAAGAAGCCCCGGCUAACUACGUGCCAGCAGCCGCGGUAAUACGUAGGGGGCAAGCGUUAUCCGGAUUUACUGGGUGUAAAGGGAGCGUAGACGGCUGUGCAAGCCAGAUGUGAAAGCCCGGGGCUCAACCCCGGGACUGCAUUUGGAACUGUGUGGCUGGAGUGUCGGAGAGGCAGGCGGAAUUCCUAGUGUAGCGGUGAAAUGCGUAGAUAUUAGGAGGAACACCAGUGGCGAAGGCGGCCUGCUGGACGAUGACUGACGUUGAGGCUCGAAAGCGUGGGGAGCAAACAGGAUUAGAUACCCCCGUAA